UUAAGCGACUAAGCGUACACGGUGGAUGCCCUGGCAGUCAGAGGCGAUGAAGGACGUGCUAAUCUGCGAUAAGCGUCGGUAAGGUGAUAUGAACCGUUAUAACCGGCGAUUUCCGAAUGGGGAAACCCAGUGUGAUUCGUCACACUAUCAUUAACUGAAUCCAUAGGUUAAUGAGGCGAACCGGGGGAACUGAAACAUCUAAGUACCCCGAGGAAAAGAAAUCAACCGAGAUUCCCCCAGUAGCGGCGAGCGAACGGGGAGCAGCCCAGAGCCUGAAUCAGUGUGUGUGUUAGUGGAAGCGUCUGGAAAGGCGCGCGAUACAGGGUGACAGCCCCGUACACAAAAAUGCACAUGCUGUGAGCUCGAUGAGUAGGGCGGGACACGUGGUAUCCUGUCUGAAUAUGGGGGGACCAUCCUCCAAGGCUAAAUACUCCUGACUGACCGAUAGUGAACCAGUACCGUGAGGGAAAGGCGAAAAGAACCCCGGCGAGGGGAGUGAAAAAGAACCUGAAACCGUGUACGUACAAGCAGUGGGAGCACGCUUAGGCGUGUGACUGCGUACCUUUUGUAUAAUGGGUCAGCGACUUAUAUUCUGUAGCAAGGUUAACCGAAUAGGGGAGCCGAAGGGAAACCGAGUCUUAACUGGGCGUUAAGUUGCAGGGUAUAGACCCGAAACCCGGUGAUCUAGCCAUGGGCAGGUUGAAGGUUGGGUAACACUAACUGGAGGACCGAACCGACUAAUGUUGAAAAAUUAGCGGAUGACUUGUGGCUGGGGGUGAAAGGCCAAUCAAACCGGGAGAUAGCUGGUUCUCCCCGAAAGCUAUUUAGGUAGCGCCUCGUGAACUCAUCUCCGGGGGUAGAGCACUGUUUCGGCAAGGGGGUCAUCCCGACUUACCAACCCGAUGCAAACUGCGAAUACCGGAGAAUGUUAUCACGGGAGACACACGGCGGGUGCUAACGUCCGUCGUGAAGAGGGAAACAACCCAGACCGCCAGCUAAGGUCCCAAAGUCAUGGUUAAGUGGGAAACGAUGUGGGAAGGCCCAGACAGCCAGGAUGUUGGCUUAGAAGCAGCCAUCAUUUAAAGAAAGCGUAAUAGCUCACUGGUCGAGUCGGCCUGCGCGGAAGAUGUAACGGGGCUAAACCAUGCACCGAAGCUGCGGCAGCGACGCUGAUGCGUUGUUGGGUAGGGGAGCGUUCUGUAAGCCUGUGAAGGUGUGCUGUGAGGCAUGCUGGAGGUAUCAGAAGUGCGAAUGCUGACAUAAGUAACGAUAAAGCGGGUGAAAAGCCCGCUCGCCGGAAGACCAAGGGUUCCUGUCCAACGUUAAUCGGGGCAGGGUGAGUCGACCCCUAAGGCGAGGCCGAAAGGCGUAGUCGAUGGGAAACAGGUUAAUAUUCCUGUACUUGGUGUUACUGCGAAGGGGGGACGGAGAAGGCUAUGUUGGCCGGGCGACGGUUGUCCCGGUUUAAGCGUGUAGGCUGGUUUUCCAGGCAAAUCCGGAAAAUCAAGGCUGAGGCGUGAUGACGAGGCACUACGGUGCUGAAGCAACAAAUGCCCUGCUUCCAGGAAAAGCCUCUAAGCAUCAGGUAACAUCAAAUCGUACCCCAAACCGACACAGGUGGUCAGGUAGAGAAUACCAAGGCGCUUGAGAGAACUCGGGUGAAGGAACUAGGCAAAAUGGUGCCGUAACUUCGGGAGAAGGCACGCUGAUAUGUAGGUGAAGUCCCUCGCGGAUGGAGCUGAAAUCAGUCGAAGAUACCAGCUGGCUGCAACUGUUUAUUAAAAACACAGCACUGUGCAAACACGAAAGUGGACGUAUACGGUGUGACGCCUGCCCGGUGCCGGAAGGUUAAUUGAUGGGGUCAGCGCAAGCGAAGCUCUUGAUCGAAGCCCCGGUAAACGGCGGCCGUAACUAUAACGGUCCUAAGGUAGCGAAAUUCCUUGUCGGGUAAGUUCCGACCUGCACGAAUGGCGUAAUGAUGGCCAGGCUGUCUCCACCCGAGACUCAGUGAAAUUGAACUCGCUGUGAAGAUGCAGUGUACCCGCGGCAAGACGGAAAGACCCCGUGAACCUUUACUAUAGCUUGACACUGAACAUUGAGCCUUGAUGUGUAGGAUAGGUGGGAGGCUUAGAAGUGUGGACGCCAGUCUGCAUGGAGCCGACCUUGAAAUACCACCCUUUAAUGUUUGAUGUUCUAACGUUGACCCGUAAUCCGGGUUGCGGACAGUGUCUGGUGGGUAGUUUGACUGGGGCGGUCUCCUCCUAAAGAGUAACGGAGGAGCACGAAGGUUGGCUAAUCCUGGUCGGACAUCAGGAGGUUAGUGCAAUGGCAUAAGCCAGCUUGACUGCGAGCGUGACGGCGCGAGCAGGUGCGAAAGCAGGUCAUAGUGAUCCGGUGGUUCUGAAUGGAAGGGCCAUCGCUCAACGGAUAAAAGGUACUCCGGGGAUAACAGGCUGAUACCGCCCAAGAGUUCAUAUCGACGGCGGUGUUUGGCACCUCGAUGUCGGCUCAUCACAUCCUGGGGCUGAAGUAGGUCCCAAGGGUAUGGCUGUUCGCCAUUUAAAGUGGUACGCGAGCUGGGUUUAGAACGUCGUGAGACAGUUCGGUCCCUAUCUGCCGUGGGCGCUGGAGAACUGAGGGGGGCUGCUCCUAGUACGAGAGGACCGGAGUGGACGCAUCACUGGUGUUCGGGUUGUCAUGCCAAUGGCACUGCCCGGUAGCUAAAUGCGGAAGAGAUAAGUGCUGAAAGCAUCUAAGCACGAAACUUGCCCCGAGAUGAGUUCUCCCUGACCCUUUAAGGGUCCUGAAGGAACGUUGAAGACGAAGACGUUGAUAGGCCGGGUGUGUAAGCGCAGCGAUGCGUUGAGCUAACCGGUACUAAUGAACCGUGAGGCUUAACCUU
rnacentral:rRNA from 1 species